rnacentral:rRNA from 1 species
AUUGAACGCUGGCGGCAUGCCUAACACAUGCAAGUCGAGCGGAGCGGCGGACGGGGGAGUAAUACCUAGGAAUCUGCCUGGUGGUGGGGGAUCACGUUCGGGAACGGAAGCCAAUACCGCAUACUAUCAGAUGAGCCUCGGUCGGAUUAGCUAGUUGGAGAGGUAAUGGCUCACCAAGGCUACGAUGCGUAACUGGUCUGAGAGGAUGAUCAGUCACACUGGGACUGAGACACGGUCCAGACUCCUACGGGAGGCAGCAGUGGGGAAUAUUGGGCAAUGGGCGAAAGUCUGAUCCAGCCAUGCCGCGUGUGUGAAGAAGGUCUUCGGAUUGUAAAGCUCUUUAAGUAGAGAAGCGGUACCGACAGAAAAAGCACCGGCUAACUCUGUGCCAGCAGCCGCGGUAAUAC